UACAGAGGGGGCAAGCGUUGUUCGGAAUUACUGGGCGUAAAGGGCGCGUAGGCGGCCUUCUAAGUCGAACGUGAAAUCCCCGGGCUCAACCCGGGAACUGCGUCCGAGACUGAAAGGCUUGAAUCCGGGAGAGGGAUGUGGAAUUCCAGGUGUAGCGGUGAAAUGCGUAGAUAUCUGGAGGAACAUCGGUGGCGAAGGCGGCAUCCUGGACCGGUAUUGACGCUGAGACACGAAAGCGUGGGGAGCAAACAGG
rnacentral:rRNA from 1 species